UAUCCUGGCUCAGGAUGAACGCUGGCGGCGUGCUUAACACAUUUCAAGUCGAACGGAGUUCAAUUGGGGAGCUUGCUCCCGGCUGAACUUAGUGGCGGACGGGUGAGUAAUGCAUGAGCAACCUGCCUUCAGGAGGGGGAUAACAUCGGGAAACCGGUGCUAAUACCGCAUAGAGCAUUUUGCAGGCAUCUGCGAGAUGGGAAAGGAGCAAUCCGCCUGGAGAUGGGCUC
rnacentral:rRNA from 1 species